rnacentral:rRNA from 1 species
ACGCUAGCUACAGGCUUAACACAUGCAAGUCGAGGGGCAUCAGGAAGAAAGCUUGCUUUCUUUGCUGGCGACCGGCGCACGGGUGAGUAACACGUAUCCAACCUGCCCUUUACUCGGGGAUAGCCUUUCGAAAGAAAGAUUAAUACCCGAUAGCAUAAUGAUUCCGCAUGGUUUCAUUAUUAAAGGAUUCCGGUAAAGGAUGGGGAUGCGUUCCAUUAGGUUGUUGGUGAGGUAACGGCUCACCAAGCCUUCGAUGGAUAGGGGUUCUGAGAGGAAGGUCCCCCACAUUGGAACUGAGACACGGUCCAAACUCCUACGGGAGGCAGCAGUGAGGAAUAUUGGUCAAUGGGCGCUAGCCUGAACCAGCCAAGUAGCGUGAAGGAUGAAGGCUCUAUGGGUCGUAAACUUCUUUUAUAUAAGAAUAAAGUGCAGUAUGUAUACUGUUUUGUAUGUAUUAUAUGAAUAAGGAUCGGCUAACUCCGUGCCAGCAGCCGCGGUAAUACGGAGGAUCCGAGCGUUAUCCGGAUUUAUUGGGUUUAAAGGGAGCGUAGGUGGACUGGUAAGUCAGUUGUGAAAGUUUGCGGCUCAACCGUAAAAUUGCAGUUGAUACUGUCAGUCUUGAGUACAGUAGAGGUGGGCGGAAUUCGUGGUGUAGCGGUGAAAUGCUUAGAUAUCACGAAGAACUCCGAUUGCGAAGGCAGCUCACUGGACUGCAACUGACACUGAUGCUCGAAAGUGUGGGUAUCAAACAGGAUUAGAUACCCUGGUAGUCCACACAGUAAACGAUGAAUACUCGCUGUUUGCGAUAUACAGUAAGCGGCCAAGCGAAAGCAUUAAGUAUUCCACCUGGGGAGUACGCCGGCAACGGUGAAACUCAAAGGAAUUGACGGGGGCCCGCACAAGCGGAGGAACAUGUGGUUUAAUUCGAUGAUACGCGAGGAACCUUACCCGGGCUUAAAUUGCAGUGGAAUGAUGUGGAAACAUGUCAGUGAGCAAUCACCGCUGUGAAGGUGCUGCAUGGUUGUCGUCAGCUCGUGCCGUGAGGUGUCGGCUUAAGUGCCAUAACGAGCGCAACCCUUAUCUUUAGUUACUAACAGGUUAUGCUGAGGACUCUAGAGAGACUGCCGUUGUAAGAUGUGAGGAAGGUGGGGAUGACGUCAAAUCAGCACGGCCCUUACGUCCGGGGCUACACACGUGUUACAAUGGGGGGUACAGAAGGCAGCUAGCGGGUGACCGUAUGCUAAUCCCAAAAGCCUCUCUCAGUUCGGAUCGAAGUCUGCAACCCGACUUCGUGAAGCUGGAUUCGCUAGUAAUCGCGCAUCAGCCACGGCGCGGUGAAUACGUUCCCGGGCCUUGUACACACCGCCCGUCAAGCCAUGGGAGCCGGGGGUAAAAGAAGUCCGUAACCGCAAGGAUCGGCCUAGGGUAAAAC